GAGCGGCGUCGGAACAGGGCUGCACUCCCCUUUCCCGAUCCCCGCGCGCGUCCCUCUCUAGACGCUGGAAGCGACCGCGUGCCGGAAAAUGCCGCCGGGGCGGCGCGCAGGCGGCGGAGCGGGGCCCCGGCUUUCCCCGCCCCUCCUGCCGCCAUCUUUGGAAGGUCAAGCGAGCCGUCCCCGUCCCGCCGCGUCGCUGUCUCGUCCCGCCGCGUUCCCGCCGCCUCCCCGUGCUUCCCCGCCGUCUCCACUCUGACACGAUCCGCCCCCGUCCCGGACCCCCUCCGCUGCAGGGAAAUGCAGGAGAACGCGAAAGCAUCGGGGCAGAGCAGCCGCUGGAGGUGCCCGAGCCGUCUCCCCCUUGCCCGCAGGGCCGGAGUUGCCCACCGCCGGCAGCUGACAGGUCCGUGCUGGAGAGUGGGAGAAGGGUCCCUGCUGGCUGCCGUGUCCUGGGUGGGCACAGAGCUCUGACCUCGGCCAGAUGGGCUGUUCGGUUUCUUUCUCACAGGUUUCCGGGUGUUUUGAUCCUGACGUCGCCAAAGCCUCAGGUUUGCUGAAUUGGGGCUCCUACCUGUGUGACCCGUGAAAUGUCCCGGAAGCUGAUCGAUGUCUUCCUGCUCCCGCUGUGUUCAUUUGGGCUGUGCUUCAGGCUUCUCUCCCUGGGCCCUUGCCGUUGCCGUAUCUCUUGGAUGCCGUGCAGAACGGAAUCAGGCAGCCAAGCCUCAUGUUCACCUUCUCCCUCACCCUCUGCGCUGCUCGUGUGGCACAGCAGAUCCUGAAGCCAGAGGAGCACGUGUACAUAAGGGUAAAGAGAUUCCUUCUGUCACACCGGUAUUUGGACCUGAGGAAGGUACCAGGUUUUCUCCAGCUUUUCUACAGUUUUGAUUUUGAGUACAAAACAGCACGAGUGGAUCCUCAGAUUUCUUGGGGAAGGGCUGCGUGACAAACAUUGCUGUGAGCUCUGUGUCUACCAGAGGAUUUUCCGGGUCAUUCUUUCCUUUCUCAGCAGUCCUUUGUGUGACCAGGGCUCCCAGAGUCCUAUUCUGGAGAUACGACAGAGUGCUGCCCGUGUCACCUCUAGAGCUGCCCAUGAGCCGAUAGAGGAUCACAGCCUCCUCUCGUGGGUCCUGCACGGCUUAGAGAAAAGGUAACCAGCCAAGUACGGGAGACAUGGGGACAAUUUCCUGUCCACGGCUGAAGAAUGACGUGGCUGAGGAUGAAAGCAAGGGGGACAGACCUGGAGACGGGGGCACCGAGGGCUGCACUGGCAGAACUUGCUGAACGCUGAGGUGUCCCUUGUGUUUUUGAGAAGAGAAUCAAGAGGCUUUCAGGUGGUGGUGGGAGGGACGAUGGUGGGGGGGCUGUGUGAUUUGGGAAUCACUUCCUUGACAAAGCAAAAGGACACCUUGUGCUGGUGUCUUUAGCUUUGAAAUUUCAAGCAGCCUCAGUUCCCAUCCUGUCACAGGACCUGCUGCACAGGAAGUGGCACAGUAAUGGAUUUGAGCUGUCUAGAACGUUACUUCUCCUCCCCUUGCCUCUCCCUGACAAAAAAAAUCUCUUCUGCAAGCACAGAGUGCCCUGACAGGUUCAGGCAAGUGCACCAAAAGUGCCCUAGAAUAUGGUCCCCCGUAGGAGAUGGACCAGCUGCUGGUGAGGAUCUGCCUUUCAAAUGUGGUUUUCUUUUCUUUUUUUUCUUUUUGUUCUGUUUCAUUUUGUUUUUCAGGUUUCUGGAGAACCAGGUGAUAAAUAAAAUGAUUUCCUUACUCCAUCCUUUGUGGCUAAUAAAUUUAGGAGACAAGAGAGAAAACAGGAAUCGAUCCCAGAUGCUGCUGUUGAGAUGGGUAUAUGAUCUACCUGUAUAUAGAUAUAUGCGUAUCUCUGUAUAUCUGUGUAGUGAUAAUAAUGGGAGUUUUUAUGAUACGUUGCUUUACUGUCUUCUAUUUUUAAUAAAGUGCGAUUUUAAGUUAUUAGGUAUAACAUUUUAUUCUGCUUAUUGGCUAAAGUAACAUUUUCUUGUAUUUUAUUGGUAUCAAGUCAUGUUAAUCAUUAAUUGGUAAGAGUUUAUAAUGAAUUAUUAAGGUGUGAAUAUUGUUCAUUAAGGUACGUCUUUUUUUUACUGUAGGUAUUUUCAUGUGUUCGUACGGGUUUUUAUGUUAAUGAUUUUGGGUUUUUGUGUUAUGAAUAUAUUAGUAUUUUAUUAGGGUUUUUUUGGUUAGUUUACUUGUUUGGUGUGUAGAUCACUCCUGUUAAGUAUGUUUAUCUAUAUAUGUUUUAAAAUGUAAGUUAUAAAUCUACUUGUUAAGGAUUUUUGUAGAGUUCUAUGUAAAAAUUUAAAUCGGUAGGGGAGAUAAAAAGCAGUAAUUAUUAAUAAGAUGAGUAUUUUAGUUUUUAAUAAUGAUUUAAGUUAUUCAGCGAUGUUUUAAUUUUUGAAAAUAUUAUUUAGUUAUUUUUUAUGUGUGAUUGAUUAAUUUUUAAAAAAAAAAUUAGUAAUGUUUUUGUAAAUUGAUUUCUUGUGAUUUCAUCAAUUUAUAUAUUUUUAAAAAUGUUUUCUAUUUAUGAUUGUGUGUGAAUAAUAAAAAAUGAACAGUU